AUGCACGCUGGCGGCGUGCCUCAUACAUGCAAGUCGAGCGAACAGACGAGGAGCUUGCUCCUCUGACGUUAGCGGCGGACGGGUGAGUAACACGUGGAUAACCUACCUAUAAGACUGGGAUAACUUCGGGAAACCGGAGCUAAUACCGGAUAAUAUAUUGAACCGCAUGGUUCAAUAGUGAAAGACGGUUUUGCUGUCACUUAUAGAUGGAUCCGCGCCGCAUUAGCUAGUUGGUAAGGUAACGGCUUACCAAGGCGACGAUGCGUAGCCGACCUGAGGGGGUGAUCGGCCACACUGGAACUGAGACACGGUCCAGACUCCUACGGGAGGCAGCAGUAGGGAAUCUUCCGCAAUGGGCGAAAGCCUGACGGAGCAACGCCGCGUGAGUGAUGAAGGUCUUCGGAUCGUAAAACUCUGUUAUUAGGGAAGAACAAAUGUGUAAGUAACUAUGCACGUCUUGACGGUACCUAAUCAGAAAGCCACGGCUAACUACGUG
rnacentral:rRNA from 1 species